UACAUCGGAACGUGCCCAGUCGUGGGGGAUAACUACUCGAAAGAGUAGCUAAUACCGCAUACGAUCUGAGGAUGAAAGCGGGGGACCUUCGGGCCUCGCGCGAUUGGAGCGGCCGAUGGCAGAUUAGGUAGUUGGUGGGAUAAAAGCUUACCAAGCCGACGAUCUGUAGCUGGUCUGAGAGGACGACCAGCCACACUGGGACUGAGACACGGCCCAGACUCCUACGGGAGGCAGCAGUGGGGAAUUUUGGACAAUGGGCGAAAGCCUGAUCCAGCAAUGCCGCGUGCAGGAUGAAGGCCUUCGGGUUGUAAACUGCUUUUGUACGGAACGAAAAAGCUCCUUCUAAUACAGGGGGCCCAUGACGGUACCGUAAGAAUAAGCACCGGCUAACUACGUG
rnacentral:rRNA from 1 species